UUGAACGCUGGCGGCAUGCUUUACACAUGCAAGUCGAACGGUAACAGGCCUUCGGGUGCUGACGAGUGGCGAACGGGUGAGUAAUGCAUCGGAACGUGCCCAAUCGUGGGGGAUAACGUAGCGAAAGUUACGCUAAUACCGCAUACGCCCUGAGGGGGAAAGCAGGGGAUCUUCGGACCUUGUGCGAAUGGAGCGGCCGAUGUCAGAUUAGCUAGUUGGUGGGGUAAAGGCCCACCAAGGCGACGAUCUGUAGCGGGUCUGAGAGGAUGAUCCGCCACACUGGGACUGAGACACGGCCCAGACUCCUACGGGAGGCAGCAGUGGGGAAUUUUGGACAAUGGGGGCAACCCUGAUCCAGCCAUGCCGCGUGAGUGAAGAAGGCCUUCGGGUUGUAAAGCUCUUUCAGACGGAAAGAAAACGCAUCGGUGAAUACCCGGUGUGGAUGACGGUACCGUAAGAAGAAGCACCGGCUAACUACGU
rnacentral:rRNA from 1 species